UACGAAGGGGGCUAGCGUUGCUCGGAAUCACUGGGCGUAAAGCGCACGUAGGCGGAUCUUUUAAGUCAGGGGUGAAAUCCUGGAGCUCAACUCCAGAACUGCCUUUGAUACUGGGGAUCUCGAGUCCGGAAGAGGUGAGUGGAACUCCGAGUGUAGAGGUGAAAUUCGUAGAUAUUCGGAAGAACACCAGUGGCGAAGGCGGCUCACUGGUCCGGUACUGACGCUGAGGUGCGAAAGCAUGGGGAGCGAACGGGG
rnacentral:rRNA from 1 species